rnacentral:rRNA from 1 species
GCGCUUAACACAUGCAAGUCGAGCGAUGAAAUUUCGACAGAUCCCUUCGGGGUGAAGAUGAAAUGGAUUAGCGGCGGACGGGUGAGUAACACGUGAGUAACCUGCCUUAGACAUUGGGAUAGCCUCGGGAAACCGGGAUUAAUACCAAAUGAAAUCACAUAUGCACAUGCAUAAAUGAUCAAAGCUCCGGCGGUCUAAGAUGGACUCGCGUCCCAUUAGCUAGUUGGUGAGGUAACGGCCCACCAAGGCGACGAUGGGUAGCCGGCCUGAGAGGGUGAACGGCCACAUUGGAACUGAGAAACGGUCCAAACUCCUACGGGAGGCAGCAGUGGGGAAUAUUGCACAAUGGAGGGAACUCUGAUGCAGCGACGCCGCGUGAACGAAGAAGGCUUUCGAGUCGUAAAGUUCUUUUAUAUGGGAAGAUAAUGACGGUACCAUAAGAAAAAGCCCCGGCUAACUACGUGCCAGCAGCCGCGGUAAUACGUGGGGGGCUAGCGUUGUCCGGAAUCACUGGGCGUAAAGGGUUCGCAGGCGGAAAUGCAAGUCAGGUGUAAAAGGCAGUAGCUUAACUACUGUAAGCAUUUGAAACUGCAUAUCUUGAGAAGAGUAGAGGUAAGUGGAAUUUUUAGUGUAGCGGUGAAAUGCGUAGAUAUUAAAAAGAAUACCGGUGGCGAAGGCGACUUACUGGGCUCAUUCUGAC